rnacentral:pre_miRNA from 1 species
UUGAUGCACCGACCGUCAACCAAUCAGAUUUCAAAGAUGUGACAUGUUUAUUAAAGAAAUUAAAUAAAAAAAUAGAUUUUCUCACAUCCUUAAAAUCUGAUUGGUUGACGGUGUAAAGGUGCAUCAAACUUUUUCUC